rnacentral:rRNA from 1 species
UCUGGUUGAUCCUGCCAGAGGUCACUGCUAUCGGGGUUCGAUUAAGCCAUGCGAGUCGAGAGGGUUCGGCCCUCGGCGUACUGCUCAGUAACACGUGGAUAACCUGCCCUAAGGAAGGGGAUAACCUCGGGAAACUGAGGAUAAUACCCUAUAGGAUACCGAUGCUGGAAUGCCCGGUAUCCCAAAGCUCCGGCGCCUUAGGAUGGAUCUGCGGCCGAUUAGGUCGUUGUUGGGGUAACGGCCCAACAAGCCGAUAAUCGGUACGGGUUGUGGGAGCAAGAGCCCGGAGUUGGAUUCUGAGACACGAAUCCAGGCCCUACGGGGCGCAGCAGGCGCGAAAACUUUACAAUGCGGGCAACCGUGAUAAGGGAACCUCGAGUGCCUGUACAUGCAGGCUGUCUGGGUGUCUAAAACACACCCAAAGAAAGGGCCGGGCAAGACCGGUGCCAGCCGCCGCGGUAAUACCGGCGGCUCGAGUGGUGGCCACUUUUAUUGGGCUUAAAGCGUUCGUAGCUGGGUUGUUAAGUCUCUUGGGAAAUCUGGCAGCUUAACUGUCAGGCGUCUAAGAGAUACUGGCAAUCUAGGAACCGGGAGAGGUGAGGGGUACUUCGGGGGUAGGAGUGAAAUCCUGUAAUCCUCGAGGGACCACCUGUGGCGAAGGCGCCUCACCAGAACGGCUUCGACAGUGAGGGACGAAAGCUGGGGGAGCAAACCGGAUUAGAUACCCGGGUAGUCCCAGCCGUAAACGAUGCGCGUUAGGUGUGUCGAUGACCACGAGUCAUCGAGGUGCCGAAGGGAAACCGUGAAACGCGCCGCCUGGGAAGUACGGUCGCAAGGCUGAAACUUAAAGGAAUUGGCGGGGGAGCACCACAACAGGUGGAGCCUGCGGUUUAAUUGGACUCAACGCCGGGAAGCUCACCGGAUAGGACAGCAGAAUGAUUGCCGGGCUGAAGACUCUGCAUGACUAGCUGAGAGGAGGUGCAUGGCCGUCGUCAGUUCGUACUGUGAAGCAUCCUGUUAAGUCAGGCAACGAGCGAGACCC